rnacentral:rRNA from 1 species
GACGAACGCUGGCGGCGUGCUUAACUCAUGCAAGUCGAACGAUGAAGCCGGAGCUUGCUCUGGUGAAUUAGUGGCGAACGGGUGAGUAACACGUGAGUAACCUGCCCUUGACUCUGGGAUAACUGCGGGAAACUGUAGCUAAUACCGGAUACGACCCUCGGAGGCAUCUCCUGGGGGUGGAAAGAAUUUCGGUCAAGGAUGGACUCGCGGCCUAUCAGCUAGUUGGUGAGGUAAAGGCUCACCAAGGCGACGACGGGUAGCCGGCCUGAGAGGGUGACCGGCCACACUGGGACUGAGACGCGGCCCAGACUCCUACGGGAGGCAGCAGUGGGGAAUAUUGCACAAUGGGCGCAAGCCUGAUGCAGCGACGCCGCGUGAGGGAUGACGGCCUUCGGGUUGUAAACCUCUUUCAGCACCGACGAAGCGCAAGUGACGGUAGGUGCAGAAGAAGGACCGGCCAACUACGUGCCAGCCGCCGCCGUAA